UCCUUGGUGGUAAUGAGUACAACACAAGCCCCCUGGCUGAUGGAGACCUGAAAUUUGUACAACAUGAUCCUUGGUCUACCUGCAUGGAUCUGUCCUUCAGCAACCUGACUAAUUGCCCUGUUUGUCGUCGCCCCAUUACUCUGCUGGUACCUACUGAAGUUGCUUCCCUGCCACGUGCUGAACAAGAAAUCGCUCCUAUUGUGCACUGAAUUGAGCAAUACAAUGGCCGUUUUGCUAUAGCUCCUCACAGUAUAACUCAGGUUUUUUAUAGAGCUGAGAUGGUCAGAAGACAUGCUCUUUCCCCGGGUGACAACGACUUGCAGCAACCGCUUCAAAAUUCCAGGUUUUCUUUGUCCUGCUUCUCAUGUGUGCUGAGUACUUGUAAUUAUGAACCUAUCAUUAUAAAACUACUUUUGUUAGUUGCAAGGAUAGCGUGUCAGUAAAUAAAUUGAGAACAAUCUUACUUCUUGUCCUGAUCUGUUGAAAAAAGCAUGCUGUCUUUUCCAUGGUUUA